GUCCUUGUAGCUUAAACCAAAGCACGGCACUGAAGACGCCAAGAUGGAUACCACCACCCCAAGGAC
rnacentral:tRNA from 1 species